CCUACGGGUGGCAGCAGUGGGGAAUAUUGGGCAAUGGGCGCAAGCCUGACCCAGCAACGCCGCGUGAAGGAAGAAGGCUUUCGGGUUGUAAACUUCUUUUGUCAGGGACGAAGCAAGUGACGGUACCUUACGAAUAAGCCACGGCUAACUACGUGCCAGCAGCCGCGGUAAUACGUAGGGGGCAAGCGUUAUCCGGAUUUACUGGGUGUAAAGGGCGUGUAGGCGGGGAAGCAAGUCAGAUGUGAAAACCACGGGCUCAACCUGUGGCCUGCAUUUGAAACUGUUUUUCUUGAGUGCUGGAGAGGCAAUCGGAAUUCCGAGUGUAGCGGUGAAAUGCGUAGAUAUCGAGAGGAACACUCGUGGCGAAGGCGGGUUCCUGGACAUUAACUGACGCUGAGGCACGAAGGCCAGGGGAGCGAAAGGGAUUAGAUACCCUAGUAGUC
rnacentral:rRNA from 1 species